UUAGCUGGGGGCGGGACGGGACGUCAUUGAGAGCCAAUCUGAUGGGGCCUGGGCGGGGCUGCGGCGGGUGGGAGCUGAGCGCAGCACCGCGGUCUUCGCAGCCCGGAGAGAGCCCGGCGCGGGUGGCGCGCACGGGGCCUUCCUGUGCGCGCGCCCGCUGCCCGCCGCCCGCCGCCCGCCCCCCGCGCAGCCCCUCGGCCCACUCGGCCCUCCGGGUCGUGGCGCCCGUCCCUCCCCUGCUCUCCCGUCGCCGCCGGGACAGGGGCUCCGAGCUGAGCAGAGCCGGGGCAGGGGCGGGAGCCGCGGGACGAGCGCCUGAGGGGCCGCGGAGAAGCCAUGGAGCUGAGCAGCAAGAAGAAGCUUCACGCCCUGUCCCUGGCUGAGAAGAUCCAGGUGCUGGAGCUCCUGGAUGAGUCCAAGAUGUCCCAGUCAGAGGUGGCCCGGCGCUUCCAGGUCUCCCAGCCCCAGAUCUCGCGCAUCUGCAAGAACAAGGAGAAGCUGCUGGCCGACUGGUGCAGCGGCACGGCCAACCGGGAGCGCAAGCGCAAGCGGGAGUCCAAGUACAGCGGGAUGGACGAGGCUCUGCUCUGCUGGUACCACAUUGCCCGGGCCAAGGCCUGGGACGUCACGGGGCCCAUGCUGCUCCACAAAGCCAAGGAACUGGCUGACAUCAUGGGCCAGGAUUUUGUGCCCAGCAUCGGCUGGCUGGUCCGCUGGAAGCGCCGGAACAACGUAGGCUUCGGGGGCCGCCACGGACUUGCGCCCUCCUCCCCCCCGGAGCCCCCUCCCCCAAGCCCCAUGUCCCGGGCCCAGCCUCCUCUUUCCCUUAAAGACUUCUCCCCAGAGGACGUUUUCGGCUGUGCCGAAGUGCCUCUGCUGUACCGGGCCGUGCCCGGCAGCGGGGGGCCCUGUGAGCGCGUGCGGGUGCUGCUGUGCACCAACAGCAGGGGCACGGAGAAGCGGCGGCUGCUGGUCAGUGGGCUCCAGGCCUCGCCCAGGUGCUUCUUUGGCGUCAACAGUGAGGCCCUGCCUGCCUCCUGCCACCCUGACCUGGGCAUCCCCUGGUCCGAGUGGCUGGCCCAGUUCGACAGGGACAUGGGCCGGCAGGGGCGACAGGUCACCCUGCUGCUGGCGGCCCGGGUGCUGGAGGAGCUGGCCAGCCUGCCCGGACUCCGCCACGUGAGGCUCCUGCCGCUGGCCGCCACCACGGCCGCCCCCAGCACACCAGCCCUGCCCAGCUCUGUGGUCCGAGCCUUCAAGACACAUUACCGGCACCGGCUGCUGGGCAAGCUGGCCGCUGUGCAGAGCAGGAGGGCCGGCGUCUCGCUGGCAGAGGCCGGGGCGGGCCUCACAAUGCUGGAUGCGCUGCACCUGGCAGCAGCGGCCUGGGCCAAGGUGCCCCCGCAGCUCAUCGUCAGAGGCUUCAUCCAGGAAGGGCUGGCUCCCUGCCAGCUGCCGCCAGCCCCCAACGAAGCCUCCGAGCUGCCUCUGGUCCCCAGCGGGCUGAGUCUCCAGGAGUUUGCCCGCUUUGUGGACCUGGAGGGCGAGGAGCCCUCAUCUGGAGCGUGCAAAGAGGAGACGGGCGCCAAGGCCGAGGAGGGGGUUGGGGAGGACGGCUUCCAGCCCCUGCCCACCAAAGCAGACGCUCUCCGGGCUCUGGGCACGCUCCGGAGGUGGCUGGAGUGCAACAGCCCCUCCCCUGCGCUCUUUGAAAAAUUCUACGCCUGCGAGGAGGAGGUAGAGCGGCUCUGCUGCCUGUGAAGGGCCCCUCAUGGCCGGAGCCUCUCCUCUCCUGUUUCCCAUGGAAACGCCCUCUCUAGAAGGCAGACGGGAGGCUGGUCUCUUUCCCGUGGAAAUGGAGCUCUUGUGAAAGCAUCUCUCCAGCAAGCCUGCAUGGUGAGACUGCAUAAAUGGCGUCCCCGCUGGGCAGGACCUUGGGACAGCAGAGGUGCAUCGUGAUUAAAGGCUGUCACCCAGACAGGUGCACAGUCCUGUGGCCCCGCAGAGCCCGGGGAGACUCCUGGAGGGGUUGUGCCCUCUGAGCUGCAGCUUGGCCGGUAAGACCAGUCCAACACAAGGGAUGGCGGGCGCGGAGGCCGACUGGGAGGGAGCACAGUGUGGUGGGCGGAGGCAGGUGGCUCCUCCAGAGCACAUGGGGAGGCCUGGGGAGCAGGAGGGCUGUUUAGCUCACUAGACCUGGUGAGGGGGCACCCCAAAGUUCCUCAGUCGGGAUGGGGACAGUCAUUCGUGGGGGUUCUAGAAAAAUUGAGAUGUGGAGGGUGAGUCGAAGAUGUGAGAGCCACUGGCAGACAGAGUCCAAGUGGUCCAGGUGGGAGAUGGUUAGCCCGAGCCAGGUCAGGAAGGAGGACUUGAAGAGGCUGGAUUCACCUGGAAAGGCCAUGGGCCAUCGGCACAGACAGACCCGGGCUGGUGAGGAGUCCAGUUCUGGCCAAAAUCUUCUUGUGGCGUAAAAGGCAGUAGGCCAUCACAAGUCAGUGCGGGGCAGCUUUUGGUUUUGGGGAUACUGCGGUCCAGGACUCAGUGUCCACGGCAGCCACGCAAGCAGGGGGAGGGGCAGAGGGAGAGGAAGAGUCGUAAGCAGACUCUGUGUUGAGUGUGGACCCUUACCCAGCCACCCUGGGAUCAUGACCUGAGACCAAAUCAAGAGUCAGACACUUAACCAACUGAGCCCCCCAGGUGACCCGGACAGCUCACUUUUAAACCGUGCUGAGCCUGCCUGAUGGUCUUCCAAGCCCCAAAUCCUGUAGGCUUUCCUCACAGAUUCCAGUUUUCCUACCUAUCUUCCAUUGUCCCUUUUCUGAAAUCAUCCCAGUUCUGACCUAUCUCCUUAAACGGUAAAACCAGAAUUAUAUGACCUCUAAAGACCCGACCAAAGUAACAAGGAGGGGACACACCAGCCCUCUGUCCUGGGUGCUGUAUUCCGGUUAGAGCAGCUCAGCCUGACGGCCAUAUUUCUGCCUUCCUCCCAGAGCCUUUCUUUUAAAGCCACAAAGAACCAUUUCCUUUCCUGCGCUGCUGUCCUGUAACAUUCUUGUCCUGUUUGCAAGUGACUUCGUUAGCUCAUUCAAACACUAUUUACUGACGUCUUUGCUUGUGAGUCAGGCGCUGUCCCAGGACCCUCCAGCUCAUAGAGAACACAAGACAGAAAGGAUCCCUCCUCUUCAAGCCUUUCUUUCUGGCAGAGGGAGAUAAAGAAGAGGCGAGCAAACCAAUAAACGUGGUCAUUUUAGAGGGAAAUCUGUGCCAAGAUGAGAAUAAAAUAGUGAUGUUUUUGAGAGGGGCUGGGAGACGGGAGUUAGGGAGAAGGCCUUUGGGCUGAGUCACAAAGAGUAAGGAAGUGUUCUCUGCCCAGGGAGCAGCAGGUGCAAACGUCACAGGCUGGAGCAACUGUCCUGUGGUAGAGAGUGGGGGCGGAGGGGGGGGUCAAGCAGAGGAGGAGGGUGGAGAGGAGAGGAAGCAGGGGCCUCGGGGUCACAUUGUUCACGGUCACCUCAAGUGAGACAAGCAGUUUGGAGGGGUGGUCUUGGUGGGGGCCUGAUUU